GAUGAAGAACGCAGCGAAAUGCGAUAAGUAAUGUGAAUUGCAGAAUUCAGUGAAUCAUCGAAUCUUUGAACGCACCUUGCGCCCUUUGGCUAUUCUGAAGGGCAUGCCUGUUUGAGUAUCAUGAACACCUCAACUCUCAUGGUUCGCCAUGAUGAGCUUGGACUUUGGGGGUCUUGCUGGCUACGGUCGGCUCCUCUCAAAUGAAUCAGCUUGCCAGUGUUUGGUAGAGUCGCAGGUGUGAUAACUAUCUACGCUUGUGGUUUUCUGCCAGAUAACCUUCAGUGAUGGAGGUUCGCUGGAGCUUAUAAAUGUCUCUCCCCAGUGAGGACAGCUUUUUGAACGUUUGAUCUCAAAUCAGGUAGGACUACCCGCUGAACUUAAGCAUAUCAAUAAGCGGAGGA
rnacentral:misc_RNA from 1 species